UAGCACCUAAACGGCGAAACUGCGAAUGGCUCAUUAAAUCAGUUAUCGUAUAUUUGAUAGUACCUACUACAUGGAUAACCGUGGUAAUUCUAGAGCUAAUACAUGCUUAAAAUCCCGACUUCGGAAGGGAUGUAUUUAUUAGAUUAAAAACCAAUGCCCUUCGGGGCUCACUGGUGAUUCAUAAUAACUUCUCGAAUCGCAUGGCCUUGUGCCGGCGAUGGUUCAUUCAAAUUUCUGCCCUAUCAACUUUCGACGGCUGGGUCUUGGCCAGCCGUGGUUACAACGGGUAACGGAGGGUUAGGGCUUGACCCCGGAGAAGGAGCCUGAGAAACGGCUACUACAUCCAAGGAAGGCAGCAGGCGCGCAAAUUACCCAAUCCCGACACGGGGAGGUAGUGACAAUAAAUACUGAUACAGGGCUCUUUUGGGUCUUGUAAUUGGAAUGAGUACAAUUUAAAUCCCUUAACGAGGAACAAUUGGAGGGCAAGUCUGGUGCCAGCAGCCGCGGUAAUUCCAGCUCCAAUAGCGUAUAUUAAAGUUGUUGCAGUUAAAAAGCUCGUAGUUGAACCUUGGGCCUGGCUGGCCGGUCUGCCUCACCGCAUGCACUGGUCCGGCCGGGCCUUUCCCUCUGGGGAUCCGCAUGCCCUUCACUGGGUGUGUCGGGGAACCAGGACUUUUACUGUGAAAAAAUUAGAGUGUUCAAAGCAGGCCUAUGCUCGAAUACAUUAGCAUGGAAUAAUAGAAUAGGACGUUGCGGUUCUAUUUUGUUGGUUUCUAGGACCGCCGUAAUGAUUAAUAGGGACAGUCGGGGGCGUCAGUAUUCAAUCGUCAGAGGUGAAAUUCUUGGAUCGAUUGAAGACUAACUACUGCGAAAGCAUUCGCCAAGGAUGUUUUCAUUAAUCAGGAACGAAAGUUAGGGGAUCGAAAACGAUCAGAUACCGUUGUAGUCUUAACCAUAAACUAUGCCGACUAGGGAUCGGGCGAUGUUAUUUCUUGACUCGCUCGGCACCUUACACGAAAGUAAAGUUUUUG
rnacentral:rRNA from 1 species